GACAGAGGGUGCAAACGUUGUUCGGAAUUACUGGGCGUAAAGCGCGUGUAGGCGGCUCGGCAAGUCGGGUGUGAAAGCCCUGGGCUUAACCUAGGAAGUGCACUCGAAACUGCCAAGCUUGAGUUCUGGAGAGGAAGGCGGAAUUCUCGGUGUAGAGGUGAAAUUCGUAGAUAUCGAGAGGAACACCGGUGGCGAAGGCGGCCUUCUGGACAGCAACUGACGCUGAGACGCGAAAGCUAGGGGAGCGAAUGGG
rnacentral:rRNA from 1 species